rnacentral:rRNA from 1 species
AUUGAACGCCGGCGGCAGGCUUAACACAUGCAAGUCGAGCGGGGGAAGGUAGCUUGCUACCGGACCUAGCGGCGGACGGGUGAGUAAUGCUUAGGAAUUUGCCUAUUAGUGGGGGACAACAUCUCGAAAGGGAUGCUAAUACCGCAUACGUCCUACGGGAGAAAGCAGGGGAUCUUCGGACCUUGCGCUAAUAGAUGAGCCUAAGUCGGAUUAGCUAGUUGGUGGGGUAAAGGCCUACCAAGGCGACGAUCUGUAGCGGGUCUGAGAGGAUGAUCCGCCACACUGGGACUGAGACACGGCCCAGACUCCUACGGGAGGCAGCAGUGGGGAAUAUUGGACAAUGGGGGGAACCCUGAUCCAGCCAUGCCGCGUGUGUGAAGAAGGCCUUAUGGUUGUAAAGCACUUUAAGCGAGGAGGAGGCUACUUUAGUUAAUACCCAGAGAUAGUGGACGUUACUCGCAGAAUAAGCACCGGCUAACUCUGUGCCAGCAGCCGCAGUAA